rnacentral:lncRNA from 1 species
UGACCUCAGGUGAUUCACCCUCCUCAGCCUCUCAAAGUGCUGGGAUUACAGGUGUGAGCCACCACACCCAGCCAGUAUGUCUUUAUCAGCAGUGUGAAAAUGGACUAAUACAAUUGGCAAGAGCAUGAAGCCACAUGGAUUGGAACAUAAGGUGUGGGGAGGCUUGAAACAGUAAAAGGUGAAUCUAGAAAACCAAUGAGGAGGCCAGGCGCAGUGGCUCAUACCUACAAUGCCAACACCUAGGGAGGCCGAAGUGGGUAGAUCACUUGAGGUCAGGAGUUCAAGAUCAGUUUGGGCAACAUAGCAGGAUCCCUGUCUCUACAAAAAAUAAAAAAAUUAGCCAGGCCUGGAGGCUCGGACCUGUAGUCCCAGUUAUUCUGGAGGUGGAGGAAGGAUAAUUGCUUGAGCCUAGGAGGUGGAGGCUGCAGUGAGCUGAGAUUGCGCCACUGCACUCCAGCCUGGACAACUGAGCAAGACCUUAUUUAAAAAAAAAAAAAAAAGAAAAAAGAAAGAAAAGAAAGGCAACUAGGGCUACAUGUUUGAAUGGAAUGCAGACAAGUUUACUUUUUAUCCUGCAGCCAAUGAGAGACCAUCCAAGGAUUUUGAAGAGGACAAUGAGAGAAUGAUGUGAUAUGUUCUGCUUUUUAAGAUAAAGUACAGGAGAGUACAGGAGAAGGCAACUUCAUUUGAAAUCCUGAAAGAUGGUCCUGAGUUCAGAACUGAGUAAGAGACUCAGAUGUCUCCUAUCAACUACAAUACAUGCUCCAGGCCACCAUCACCGCAAUUCCAGGGAGGUAUACCUCUCACCACCUCCAAAACCUUGAUCGAAAUGCAAGCAUUCUACACAUGCUCCACAUUUAGAAGUAGCAAUCAGAAGCUGAGGAGAGCAUGCCUUGCUCAGAGGCUAGAAGAUCUGCCACAGCAACCAUCUGUUUAAAGUCCCUGGAUGCAAGUAAAAGGGGAAAAAAAUCCAAAGACUUUAUAUGUGCUGGUUGAUUGCAUAAAGGAUCAUAAAGUAGGAAUAAGAAUCCCAGUUCUAGGCUAGAACAAUCCUUGAAGGUGAUAAACAGAAAAUACAGCAAAACUUUUAUCAUGGGUGUUUGUGUGUAUUUGGGUGGUGGUAGUGGGAAUAGGCAGGUUAGGUUGAUUAACCAAAAAUGUAUUCAUCUUUAGUAUGCCAUUAUCAGUGAUAUGAAUUGCUCUGGAAUAAGUGGAUUGGACUUACUCGUGCAAUCACAUUUAGAGCCAGUGGUAGAAAUGCAAAUCUGAAAUGAGAACAGCAGCCCAUGCUAUCCAUUUAGCUAAUUAUGUAUUGAGUAGCUCCUACAUGUCAGACAAGCCUGCUCAUAACAUAAUAUGUGGGGCCCAGGGCAAAUGCACAAAGGGACUCAGUUCCACCUACCAUAUGUCUGAAGAUUUGCAAGUUAUACAUUAACAGCAUUUAAUAAAAUGUGUUCUGUUCUCCUACCUUGACAAAUAAAGCAUAUCUUCAUAAUGAUCUGGAAGCCAG